GGGGAGGCAAGGAUUUGCUAUUUUGAUUUCUCUCCCGUGAGCUGAAAUGCUAGCAUUAAACUAGAAUGCCACUUAACAUACUCAUGCAUCUUUGCAGAAGUAUCCUACACAAGCAUAUAUGUUUAUAUAUAAUCCAAUUGCCAGCAUGUAUUGAAUUAUAUCCAAAAAUCAAGCAUCAUAUUAUUAUGGCCUCAGGCCCC
rnacentral:lncRNA from 1 species